rnacentral:misc_RNA from 1 species
CAGACAAUCUGUGUGGGCACUCGAAGAUACGGAUUCUUAACGUCCUCGGACGAAAAAUGAAUACCAAGUCUCAAGAGUGAACACGUAAUUCAUUACGAAGUUUAAUUCUUUGAGCAUCAAACUUUUAAAUUGAAGAGUUUGAUCAUGGCUCAGAUUGAACGCUGGCGGCAGGCCUAACACAUGCAAGUCGAACGGUAACAGGAAGCAGCUUGCUGCUUUGCUGACGAGUGGCGGACGGGUGAGUAAUGUCUGGGAAACUGCCUGAUGGAGGGGGAUAACUACUGGAAACGGUGGCUAAUACCGCAUAACGUCGCAAGACCAAAGAGGGGGACCUUCGGGCCUCUUGCCAUCAGAUGUGCCC